UACGGAGGGUGCAAACGUUGCUCGGAAUCAUUGGGCGUAAAGCGCACGUAGGCGGCCUGAUAAGUCGGGUGUGAAAGCCCUGGGCUCAACCCAGGAAGUGCACUCGAAACUGUCAGGCUUGAAUAUGGAAGAGGGUCGCGGAAUUCCCGGUGUAGAGGUGAAAUGCAUUGAGAUCGGAAAGAACACCAACGGCGAAAGCACUCUGCUGGGCCGACACUGACACUGAGAGACGAAAGCUAGGGGAGCAAAUGGG
rnacentral:rRNA from 1 species